rnacentral:rRNA from 1 species
GACGAACGCUGGCGGCGUGCUUAACACAUGCAAGUCGAACGGAAAGGCCCUGCUUUUGUGGGGUGCUCGAGUGGCGAACGGGUGAGUAACACGUGAGUAACCUGCCCUUGACUUUGGGAUAACUUCAGGAAACUGGGGCUAAUACCGGAUAGGAGCUCCUGCUGCAUGGUGGGGGUUGGAAAGUUUCGGCGGUUGGGGAUGGACUCGCGGCUUAUCAGCUUGUUGGUGGGGUAGUGGCUUACCAAGGCUUGGACGGGUAGCCGGCCUGAGAGGGUGACCGGCCAAAUUGGGACGGAGAUAAGGCCCGGACUCGAACGGGAGGCAGCGGUGGGGAAGAUUGCACAAUGGGCGGGAGCCUGAUGCAGCAACGCCGCGUGGGGGGUGAGGGGCUUGGGGUUGUGAACCACUGUCGCUUGUGACGAGGCGUGAGUGACGGUAAUGGGUAAAGAAGCACCGGCUAACUACGUG